rnacentral:lncRNA from 1 species
CUGGUUAUAGAUGAUGGCCGCGCCCAAACUCCUGGCGGGGUUGAUUCCUGUUCCGGUGAUGGGAAUUGUGGCCAAGUGUACCAAGAACACCGCGAAUCCUAUAGGCAACGGUGCCAAGAUCUGAUCACACAACAUUAAGUCCGAUUAGUAUGAAUUUAAUUAAAUUUAUAACUAAUCCAAUUAAGUCUGAUUCCCGUAAAUUUAAUUAACUUGUGACUAGUCCGAUUAAGUCCUACUAGCAGUGAAUUAUUACUAAACAUAGAAAUACUCUAAAAAAAUUAGGAACAAAAAUUUAGAAGCUUACAGGGACGUGAGAGUCUCUGGCGCUACGCUUGGCAUCAGUGGCGGAGAAGACGGUGUAAACAAGCACGAAAGUUCCGACAAUCUCGGCACCGAGACCAUCACCUUUGGUGUAGCCAUGAGCCACAACAUUAGCACCACCACCCUUAUCAGUAAACACUCUCUUCCCCUCGAACCCUUUAACCACUCCAGCCCCGCAGAUCGCACCCAAGCACUGCAUCACCAUGUAGUACACAGCCCUGGUCAAAGUCAACUUCCUCGCCAGAAACA